AUUGAACGCUGGCGGCAUGCUUUACACAUGCAAGUCGAACGGUAACAGGCCGCAAGGUGCUGACGAGUGGCGAACGGGUGAGUAAUGCAUCGGAACGUGCCCAGUCGUGGGGGGUAACUGCUCGAAAGAGCAGCUAAUACCGCAUACGAUCUAUGGAUGAAAGCGGGGGACCGUAAGGCCUCGCGCGAUUGGAGCGGCCGAUGUCAGAUUAGGUAGUUGGUGGGGUAAAGGCUCACCAAGCCAACGAUCUGUAGCUGGUCUGAGAGGACGACCAGCCACACUGGGACUGAGACACGGCCCAGACUCCUACGGGAGGCAGCAGUGGGGAAUUUUGGACAAUGGGGGCAACCCUGAUCCAGCAAUGCCGCGUGCAGGAAGAAGGCCUUCGGGUUGUAAACUGCUUUUAUACAGGAAGAAACGACUCUUGCGAGAGGCAUUGACGAUACUGUAUGAAUAAGCACCGGCUAACUCCGUGCCAGCAGCCGCCGUAAGAC
rnacentral:rRNA from 1 species